rnacentral:misc_RNA from 1 species
AACCUCCUGAACCUGCUUGCUUUGAUACUGCACUGACAUCCACAGAUAAUGUUAUAAAAAAAGUUCUGGUAGUUAAAGCUUCAAUCUGGCGACAUUAAUAGAAAAGAAAAGAAAAAGGAAGGGCUAAACAUUUGUUUGUGUUCAGCAUGUUUUAAGUGUUAGCAUUCUUGAAGAAUUUAAUUCCACUUCCACUUGAGAAGCAGUGAACCAACUAAAUUGAAAUGGAAAUCACAGAAAUAAGGAACGUGUGCAACUGAAUAUGAU